UACGGGGGGGGCAAGCGUUGUUCGGAAUUACUGGGCGUAAAGGGCGCGUAGGCGGCCUGCUAAGUCGGAUGGGAAAUCCCUCGGCUCAACCGAGGAACUGCAUCCGAUACUGGCGGGCUUGAAUCCGGGAGAGGGAUGUGGAAUUCCAGGUGUAGCGGUGAAAUGCGUAGAUAUCUGGAGGAACACCGGUGGCGAAGGCGGCAUCCUGGACCGGUAUUGACGCUGAGGCGCGAAAGCUAGGGGAGCAAACGGG
rnacentral:rRNA from 1 species